rnacentral:tRNA from 1 species
GCGGGCGUGAUGGAAUUGGUAGACAUAGCGGACUUAAAAUCCGUAGCCUUCUGGCGUGGGGGUUCGAGUCCCCCCGCCCGCACCA